CACAAAAAAAGGUCACCUCUUCCCCCAGUUUACUAUUUUUGUUUUGGAAGUCCCCAAUAUUUCACAACCUAGAUCUAACCGUCUAAUUUGUUUUGGAAUUCCCCUCUCUUUCUCUCUUCUGUGUUAUUGAAUCAAGAAAAUGGCGACAGCUCGUGAAGAGAACGUGUACAUGGCGAAGCUGGCCGAGCAGGCCGAGCGCUACGAGGAGAUGGUGGAGUUCAUGGAGAAGGUCACGGCCGCCGCGGUGGAGAACGAGGAGCUGUCCGUGGAGGAGCGUAACCUUCUCUCGGUGGCCUACAAGAACGUGAUCGGGGCGCGUCGAGCCUCCUGGCGCAUAAUCUCCUCCAUCGAGCAGAAGGAGGAGAGUCGCGGCAACGAGGACCACGUGGCCACGAUCCGCGACUACCGAUCCAAGAUCGAGUCGGAGCUCUCCUCCAUCUGUGACGGCAUUCUCAAGCUCCUCGACUCGCGCCUCAUUCCCUCCGCCUCCUCCGGAGACUCCAAGGUCUUCUACCUGAAGAUGAAAGGCGAUUACCACAGGUACUUGGCAGAGUUCAAGACCGGAGCCGACCGCAAGGAAGCCGCCGAGAGCACCCUCACUGCCUACAAAUCCGCUCAGGACAUUGCCAACGCUGAGCUGGCUCCUACGCAUCCAAUCCGGCUUGGGCUUGCUCUGAACUUCUCUGUGUUUCACUAUGAGAUUCUGAAUUCCCCUGAUCGUGCUUGCAAUCUUGCUAAACAGGCUUUUGAUGAAGCAAUUGCCGAGUUGGAUACCCUGGGUGAGGAGUCAUACAAGGAUAGCACUUUGAUCAUGCAACUUCUCCGUGACAACCUCACUCUUUGGAGCUCUGACAUGCAGGAUGAUGGGGCAGAUGAGAUCAAAGAAGCAGCACCCAAGCGGGAUGAAGAACAGCAGGCAGCUCAUUGAACUAUUUGUCAAGACUUCAACUUCUCCUCUAUGCCUUUUAACUGGAGAAGAUCAGAAGGUGCAUUGAUACGUUUGUUGGAUGUUUGAUGAAUGCUUUCAGAAUACCCACCAUGAGCAUAAUUAAUUGGUUCCCAGAGCAUGAGCUCAUUUUUGCUCUCGCAAUCAAUGCUGUAACCGAUUUUCCUUUGAUGGUUUUCUCCACACUACUGCAGUCCACUCUUUGGCUUUCCUUACGUUUGGCUGAGUUAGACUAGUUCAGUUUACGUUGUGUAGGCUUUGAUUUGCGUUUUAAUCGAAAAUAAUUACGAUAACCUGUUUGAAGCUUGUGAAUUUUGUUGACUCAUUAUGAGUUGUCUGCGUGUGAUGAGGCAUAACAUAAACCAUCAUUGACAUGUGGUCAAUUACUUUUUCUAAAGGGGCACGAGGUUGAAGCAUUGCUGUAUGACUUUAUUUUUUUAAUUUUUAUUGCGGACAGUUGGAAUA